GGGUCGUUAGCUCAGUUGGUAGAGCACUGGACUUUUAAUCCAUUGGUCGUGGGUUCGAAUCCCACACGACCCACCA
rnacentral:tRNA from 1 species